rnacentral:rRNA from 1 species
AUUGAACGCUGGCGGCAUGCUUUACACAUGCAAGUCGAACGGUAACAGGUUAAGCUGACGAGUGGCGAACGGGUGAGUAAUGCAUCGGAACGUGCCCGGUCGUGGGGGAUAACGCAGCGAAAGCUGCGCUAAUACCGCAUACGACCUGAGGAUGAAAGCGGGGGACCGUACGGCUUCGCCAGAUCGGAGCGGCCGAGGUCAGAUUAGGUAGUUGGUGGGGUAAAGGCUCACCAAGCCAACGAUCUGUAGCUGGUCUGAGAGGACGACCCGCCACACUGGGACUGAGACACGGCCCAGACUCCUACGGGAGGCAGCAGUGGGGAAUUUUGGACAAUGGGCGAAAGCCUGAUCCAGCAAUGCCGCUUGCAGGAAGAAGGCCUUCGGGUUGUAAACUGCUUUUGUACGGAGCGAAAAGGUCUCCUCUAAUACAGGGGGCUCAUGACGGUACCGUAAGAAUAAGCACCGGCUAACUACGUGACAGCCGCCGCCGUAA